UCCGGAGGCCCACACCAUCACCGACCCCCACUACUGCAUCUCGCCCACAGCGGAGGCGCCACAAGCGGCGUGAGAGGAAGCAGAAUAGGGGCAAGCGUGGAGGUAUCCGGGCUAGGCUAGUGGCUAACCCACACAAGCCAGCUAUCCCCACCAUCGUACUGGCUAACGUACGCUCUUUGGACAAUAAACUGGACUACAUCCGACUACUACGCUCAACUCAGAGGACUGUAAGAGACUGUUGUGUUUUUGUGUUCACGGAAACAUGGCUCAACAACAGCGUUCCGGACUGCGCUAUUCAUCUCGAUCAGCUGACAUGCUAUCGAGCGGACAGAGCUCGCGUCGAGGGAGGUAAGACCCGCGGCGGAGGGCUUUGUGUUUACAUCAAUGAUGCGUGGUGCCGCGAUGCUGUUGUGGUCUGCAAACACUGCUCACCCCUGGUGGAGUUUAUGAUUAUUAAGUGCCGGCCGUUCUAUCUACCGAGGGAAUAUACAGCCAUACUGCUCGUUGCUGUAUACAUCCCUCCCAGCUCCAACAACAGCAACAGGAGCGAGGCACUAAAUGAACUGUACCAGCACAUCAGUGAGCAGCAGACAGCCCACCCUGAUGCUUUUCUCAUCUUGGCUGGGGAUUUCAACCAUGCAGACUUAAAGAGUGUGUUCCAAAAAAUACACCAACACAUAGACUUUCCAACACAGGGAAACAACAUUUUGGACUUUGUUUACACCACACAGAGAGGAGUUUACAAGGCCCUCCCCCUCCCCCACCUCGGUGCCUCAGACCUGGAGAUGAGGUGGGCUUGAAGACCGCUAGGGCCAACCUUUCCUGCGGCAUCAGAGAGGCAAAAAGACAGUACUCCAGGAGGAUAGCCCAUCGUUUCAGCGACAGCAGAGACACUUGGAGCCUGUGGAAGGGGAUACAGACCAUUACGGACUACAAGCUCCCACCACGCACCUGUGACAGCACCAUCUCCCUGCUGAACGAGCUGAACGUCUUCUUCGCUCGCUUUGAGGCACAAAACAGCACCACUGCACAGAAGACUCCACCUCCUCCUGGUGACCAGGUGAUGAUGCUGUCCCUGGACAGCGUGAGGAGAUCCCUCAGCAGGAUCAAUGCACGCAAAGCUCCGGGUCCUGACA
rnacentral:lncRNA from 1 species